rnacentral:tRNA from 1 species
GCCCUGGUGGCUCAACAGUUAAGCACUUGACUGCUAACCAAAAAGUUGGUGGUUCGAACCCACCCAGGAGCU